GGGUGCGAUCAUACCGGCACUAAUGGAUCGGAUUCCAUCAGAACUCCGCAGUUAAGCGUGCUUGGGCGAGAGUAGUACCAAGAUGGGUGACCUCUUGGGAAGUCCUCGUGUUGCACCCC
rfam:Gossypium raimondii Chr06_contig_397, whole genome shotgun sequence.